CAGCAGUGGGGAAUAUUGGACAAUGGGCGCAAGCCUGAUCCAGCCAUGCCGCGUGGGUGAAGAAGGCCUUCGGGUUGUAAAGCCCUUUUGUCCGGAAAGAAAAGCAUUCGGUUAAUACCCGGGUGUGAUGACGGUACCGGAAGAAUAAGCACCGGCUAACUUCGUGCCAGCAGCCGCGGUAAUACGAAGGGUGCAAGCGUUACUCGGAAUUACUGGGCGUAAAGCGUGCGUAGGUGGUUCGUUAAGUCUGUCGUGAAAUCCCCGGGCUCAACCUGGGAAUGGCGAUGGAUACUGGCGGGCUAGAGUGCGGUAGAGGAGAGUGGAAUUCCCGGUGUAGCAGUGAAAUGCGUAGAGAUCGGGAGGAACAUCAGUUGCGAAGGCGGCUCUCUGGACCAGCACUGACACUGAGGCACGAAAGCGUGGGGAGCAAACAGGAUUAGA
rnacentral:rRNA from 1 species